CCUGCGUGAACCUGUCGUCUUUCGAGAUUGACAGGGGACGAGACAUCGAUGAGGGAGCUGCCGUUGUUCUGGCUGAAGCUGGGUUACAGCGAAUCCAGCAGCUGUACUUAACGCACACCGUCAUCUCACCCGGAGCUGUCAUGAUAUUGCAUGGAAGCUGCCCAAGGCUGAAAGAAAUUAGCGUCGUUCUGCACAGACGGGACUUCAAUUCCUCGUCGGCAUUCAGCAACUUCGUUGCUGGUUUUGGGGCGUUGCAACAAACGGCGCCGUUCGACUCUUUCGUCAGGCUGGGCUUCACCGACGAACGAGAAUAUCUUGCCGAAGAACAGAAACAAACUGAACGAUGUGGAUGAUGUCGAUGAUUAGUUGGGUUUAUUGGC